rnacentral:rRNA from 1 species
UACGUAGGUGGCAAGCGUUGUCCGGAUUUAUUGGGUUUAAAGGGCGCGUAGGUGGCCUGUGGAAGUCUGCGGUGAAAGCCCGGCGCUCAACGCCGGGUCGGCCGUGGAUACUCUCGGGCUCGAGCUUACUAGAGGCAGAUGGAAUUCCGGGUGUAGCGGUGGAAUGCGUAGAGAUCCGGAAGAACACCGGUGGCGAAGGCGGUCUGCUGGGGUAAUGCUGACACUGAUGCGCGACAGCGUGGGGAGCGAACAGG